rnacentral:misc_RNA from 1 species
GAGGAUAAUUUUUUAAAUAAUAUAUUUUGAAAGUUUUAAUUAGUAAUUUGAAGAGUUGGUAUUUGAAAGGUUAGUAUGAAUAUAUUUUUAAAGUAGUAAUAUAGGUUUUUUAUGAGAAAAAGUAAAUAUAGGGAAAAUAAAAAUAUAAAGGUUUAAUUUUUUUUGAUUUUUGAAAGAUAUAGUAUAGAUAGUGGUUUUUAGGACGAAGAGUAGGAGAUUUUU